rnacentral:rRNA from 1 species
CCCGUUAAUGGGUGAGAGCGUGCCUUUUGUAGAAUGAACCGGCGAGUUACGAUAUGAUGCGAGGUUAAGUUGAAGAGACGGAGCCGUAGGGAAACCGAGUCUUAAUAGGGCGCCAUAGUAUCAUGUUGUAGACCCGAAACCAUGUGACCUACCCAUGAGCAGGUUGAAGGUGAGGUAAAACUCACUGGAGGACCGAACCAGGGCACGUUGAAAAGUGCUUGGAUGACUUGUGGGUAGCGGAGAAAUUCCAAACGAACUUGGAGAUAGCUGGUUCUCUCCGAAAUAGCUUUAGGGCUAGCGUCGAUGUUAAGUCUCUUGGAGGUAGAGCACUGUUUGGGUGAGGGGUCCAUCCCGGAUUACCAAUCUCAGAUAAACUCCGAAUGCCAACGAGAUAUAAUCGGCAGUCAGACUGCGAGUGCUAAGAUCCGUAGUCGAAAGGGAAACAGCCCAGACCACCAGCUAAGGUCCCAAAAUAUAUGUUAAGUGGAAAAGGAUGUGGGGUUGCACAGACAACUAGGAUGUUAGCUUAGAAGCAGCUAUUCAUUCAAAGAGUGCGUAAUAGCUCACUAGUCGAGUGACCCUGCGCCGAAAAUGUACCGGGGC